GUGGGGAAUAUUGCACAAUGGGGGGAACCCUGAUGCAGCGACGCCGCGUGAGUGAAGAAGUAUUUCGGUACGUAAAGCUCUAUCAGCAGGGAAGAAAAAAGGACGGUACCUGAGUAAGAAGCCCCGGCUAACUACGUGCCAGCAGCCGCGGUAAUACGUAGGGGGCAAGCGUUAUCCGGAAUUACUGGGUGUAAAGGGAGCGUAGACGGCAAUGCAAGUCCGGAGUGGAAUGCGGCAGCUCAACUGCCGAACUGCUCUGGAAACUGUAUGGCUUGAGUGCAGGAGGGGUAAGCGGAAUUCCUGGUGUAGCGGUGAAAUGCGUAGAUAUCAGGAGGAACACCGGUGGCGAAGGCGGCUUACUGGACUGUAACUGACGUUGAGGCUCGAAAGCGUGGGGAGCAAACAGG
rnacentral:rRNA from 1 species